CCAAAAAGACAGGGAGGCAUGGAUUUCCGAGAUCUUAGGUUAUUUAAUCAAGCUCUCUUGGCCAAACAGGCGUGGCGGCUAUUGGUGUACCCAGAUUCUUUGUGUGCUAAGGUUUUGAAGGCAAAAUACUACCCCAAUGGCCACAUUUUGGAUAUUGUGUUCCCGCAAGCUACUUCGGUGAAUUGGCAAGGUAUUAUGCAUGGCCUGAAACUGUUAAAAAAAGGGGUCAUAUGGAGAGUGGUUGAUGGUAAAAAUGUAAAUAUUUGGAGAGAUAACUGGCUACCUAGAAACUCCAGCCUUAGAGUUACAUCAAAGAAAAAUCGCACUAGACUGAAAUGGAUAUCUGAAUUAUUCAUGAGCGAAACAACAAGAUGGGAUGAAAUAUUAAUCAGGUACUUGUUCUAUCACCAUGAUGCGGAGGAGAUUCUAAAUGUACGUAUUCAGUCUGGAGGAGAGGGAGAUCAAGUUGCUUGGCAUUAUGAGAAAAAUAGUAUGUUUUCUGUUAAUAGUGCGUACAGACUGGCCUUAAAUCUUAAGGACGAUAAGGGCAAAACUAGAACGUCCAACACUAUUGAUAAUGAGAGGAGGAUGUGGGACGUUAUUUGGAAGGCCAAAGUCCCACAAAAAAUUAGAAUUUUUGUCUGGCGAGCCGCGUCCAAUAGUUUGGCGACCCAGGUAAACAGAGUUGCUCAUCACCAAAUAGUGUUAGAUAUGUGUACUAUUUGUGGUGUGGAGGAAGAAAGUAUUUUUUAUGCCCUGCUGACUUGUCCUAAGGCGUGUGCAUUUCGUUUUGCCAUGAGAGAUGUGUGGAAUAUUCCUGGAGAGGAGUUCUUCAGAUGUACAGGGCCGGACUGGUUUCUUAUUCUGCUUGACCAAUUGGGGUCACCGGUUCGCGAGCAAGUUUUAUUCAUAUUUUGGUGA
rnacentral:rRNA from 1 species